rnacentral:rRNA from 1 species
UACGUAGGGUGCAAGCGUUGUCCGGAAUUAUUGGGCGUAAAGAGCUCGUAGGCGGUUUGUCGCGUCUGCUGUGAAAACCCGAGGCUCAACCUCGGGCCUGCAGUGGGUACGGGCAGACUAGAGUGCGGUAGGGGAGAUUGGAAUUCCUGGUGUAGCGGUGGAAUGCGCAGAUAUCAGGAGGAACACCGAUGGCGAAGGCGGCUCUCUGGGCCUUACCUGACGCUGAGGAGCGAAAGCGUGGGUAGCGAACAGG